rnacentral:tRNA from 1 species
GGAGAGGUGGAUGAGCGGUUUAAGUCACACGCCUGGAAAGCGUGCAAGGGUGCAAGCCCUUCACGGGUUCGAAUCCCGUCCUCUCCGCCA